CGUUGGAAGAUUCGACCUUGACAUUGUUCCAUAGAAUUUGUCAGAUCUAACUCUUCCAGCUCA
rnacentral:pre_miRNA from 1 species